UUCCAAAGGAGCCUUAGCCUUCCUUGUCGCAUCCCUGCACGCUCUGACAACGUCCCUGUAUUCCUCCCAAGUGGCCUGUCCCCUUUUCCACAUUCUGUACACUUCCUUCUUCUGCUGGAGUUUUGCCAGGAGUUCCUUGCUCAUCCAUGCAGGUCUCCUGCCCGCUUUGCUAGCUUUCUUACUCAGAGGGAUGCACUGAUCUUGAGCCUGGAGGAAUAUUAACCAGCUUUCUUGGACCCCUCUUCCUUCUAGGGCCCUACCCCACGAGAUUCCCCUAAGUAGGUCCCUCAAGAGGCCAGAGUCAGCUCUCCUGAAGUCCAGGCUUGCGAUCCUACUCAUUACCCUGCUUCCUCCUGGUAGGAUCCUGAACUCCAUCAUCUCAUGGUCACUGCAGCCAAGGCUGCCCCCAACCUUCACAUCUCCAACUAGACCUUCUUUGUUUGUGAGUACAAGGUCUAGCAGCGCACCUCUCCUUGGUGGCGUCUCCACCACUUGCGUCAAGAAAUUAUCAUCAAUCCUCUGCAGGAACCUCUUGGACUGUUUGUGUCUAGCUGUGCUGUCUUCCCAGCAGAUGUCAGGGUGGUUGAAGUCCCCCAGGAGAACCAGGGCCUGUGAUCAUGAGGCUACUUCCAGAUGUACAGCUGUCUGUAGAAGGCCUCAUUCACUUCCUCUUCCUGAUCAGGUGGUCUGUAGUAAACCCCCACAACAGUGUCACCCAUGUUAGCCUACAUUUUGCGCUGAUCAAAACCAAAGCAGUCACUGCUCCACUGGGUAUAAAAUACUGGUCCAAUGAGGAGGCAAAAACAACUCCAAAAAUCAGACCUAGGUUAAUUUCUAAGUUUUGUCAAAAAUAGGAAUUGUUUGUAUAUAGAGUAAUGGCCAGAGAGGAAGAGAACCACAGCACCUAGGUACGUAAAUGUGAAUUAAAGAUUUUAAUCUCCAGGAGUUUCUCUAGCUGACAAUGGGCAGAUGUAAAUAGUGGUAGCACGAUGGACCUGAGAAAGAAACAAGAAGCCUUCAUUUGCUUUUGCUGGACAUUUCAAAGAGGUGGUGGAUCAACACAAGGCUACAAGGCUGCUUCGUUUGGCAAGAGCAACACAGAAGAAGGAAUAGGCAGUCCAUUUGCACUGGGAAUGGACAGCAAACGGACUCCUACCCAAAAACCAUGGAGAACUGCCAAGGGCUCUCCAGUCUGGAAAAGAGAUGACUUAAGGGAGGUGGGCGAUAUGACUUGUCUACGUAUUCAGAAAUGAUAUAGAAAGGGUAGGUAAUGAUUUGAUUGUUCACUCUUUAUUCUAAUAUAAGAACAAGGAUGUUUUGAACAAAGCAGGAGGAAGGCUUGGAAGAAGAAAAAGAAGGUGGUUCUUCAUGCAACAGGUAGCAGAUUUGUGAAACUCCUUUCCAAAGGAUAUUGUGGAUACUCAGUUUUAUGUGCACUUGAAACUAGACAAAGACAUGGCAUAGAAACCCACAGAGGAUUACGGAGUACAGUAAAAGUUCCUGAGCUGCAAACAGUAGAGUGCUGGUGGAGGGUUAGUAUAAUAUAUGCUUGUUUUGCCUUUAUUUUUGUCUAAGCAUCUGCUUACGAAAAAAUACCACCGCUGAAAAAUAGCAGGCACUGUUGGGGACCAGACUUUGGGCCAGAUGGGCCUUUGGUCUGACCUGGAUCUUGGAUUCUUAGCUACACUGAUCCACAGUGAAAUGACAGGCUGGCAGGAAAAGCAAAGGAUUGAUCUAUACUUUCAAGGAAAUACCUCCCUUGGGAGCAGAUUGUGGCAAAGUAAGUACCAAGCCUCUGAGGUUCAAACACAUUUUUGCUAGAAAAGCUGAGAGAGGUGGAUGACCUUAUUAGCAAAGGUCGUAACUAGGUCCUUUAAAAGCAAAUGGCUCUAGUGCUCACUGGGAGUGCAGUGAAGAGAGCUAGGAAAGAGGAAACGGGAAUGGGCCCACAGCACAAGGAUGUCAAUACAAUCAACAGUUCUUGAGAGGUGUGUCUCUGACCUUCUCUCAUGAUUUCUUUAUCUACGUAUCAAGCGUUACAUGUCACACUGUCUCUCCUGCUCCAGGACCUACUGCGCUGCCUUUGGGGCCUAGCUCUGUAAAGGCCUCCAUCCUCAUGUGCUGAGCCACUGCAGGCGCUCAGUGGUCUGUAUGAAGCUAUGCAUCACAUACACCUCCAUCACGUAAACCACUGGGCCAGGCCUGUUCCCCACCAUGUAACCAAACACAUCAGCUGACCCAUCCUAGGCCACGUCAUGAAGUCAUGUCCUGCAUUAGAGAGGAAGAAACACAAACAGGAGGAGAUCUACUGGCCUUCAGGCCAUCCAUCUCAUGGGCACCUACCUCAUCAACAUUUCCUCCCCACCGAAGUGUUUUGCCACACGCCAAGCACACCCUUCCACCCUCUUCCCCUCAACUAACCUGGGCAACCUCCAAAGCCGCCUCAUCAUCCCUGGAAGGAGGUGAUGUACUAGCCUAAUUGUGAAUGACGGAGAUGAUUCUUUUUUAUUUAAAGAAGAACUUGUGGCUGCUGAGUGCCUGCCAGAAUUGGGUGUCCACUGCAGUACUCAGCCCUGAGCUCCACAGACUGGUCUGCUCAGAAGAUGGGCUGUCUGUCGUGUUGAAAAUUAGCUACCAGUAGAAGUCACUGAGAAAGAAAGAGGGGAAGAGCACGGCUUGGCAAGGAGCUUCACCCCACACUACAGCAGGACAUGUAUCUGAAGAGCUGCACACAUAAAUCAAGGGGUUGCAAUGAGUGCCUGUAAGGAGGCUACACAGCUCAGGGCAUUUGGAAUUGCAGAAUGUUAUUCUCAGGCUGCCAGAAAUAUUCCCCUCAGCAAGGCAUGAUGCUGAGGGGAACAUUAAAAGAACAGCUUCCAGCAUCCUGGCCAUAUGAACCCCUGACAUGAGGGAGCCGAGCUGUCCUGAACCUGAUGCUCCCCAGGAGGGACACUGCAUGCUGACAAUCCUGGCAAAGGGAUUAGCGAUGCAGCGUUAAAGUGUGCUGAUACAACCACAGAAUGAAAACAGCUUCCCACAAAUAAGAGUAAAGACUGGAAUAUCUUUUCAUACAUCCGCUGCUGCGUAAGUGGAACUUGCCCUGUUCUCAUCUGAGGUCAAAUACGAACUGUCAGUCCAAAUAGACAAAUGACUAGCCUGCGUCACUGAGCUGCAACAGCGCAGGCACACAGCUACCUGCAACCAGGCAAACCCACGGGGCGCAGUAUUCACAACAGGGGAAGAUUAAAUGCGCAGCUACCUCCAAACAUCCUACCUGAACGAUAAAAGCAAGAACAAUUUGGGUUAAAAUCUGGAUUUCCUUCCUCUCCUACACUUCCUCAUCAACUGUCCCUGCUUCUACUUCAGUUCUAAUGAACCUCUCCUGCACUCCUGCAUUGCUAAUAAAUUAGCAUUACACAUAGCA
rnacentral:lncRNA from 1 species